CAGGCUCAAGGUACAGAAUUCUGCCAACUCCAGGUAAAGGAGUUUUUGAGACUUUCUUGGAAGAAAUGGACUUGAAAAACAGAGUUCAAAGUAAGAAAUAAAAGCAGAAAAAAAUAAAAUGUUGUCCUCUGAUGAAAACAUGGCAGAUGUAUUCCCGUUGCUUCAACCCACUCCUUGAAGACAUCGUGAUUCUUUCACUCACGACCUUCUGCUAAUAUGUCAAAGGGCAUUAAAUCUUAUAUGACUGUGAGCUCUAAAUCCAAUAUGACUGUUUUCGUUUUAAGAAGAGGAAAACUUGGAAAUAGACACAGACACAUUAGGGAGAAGGCCAUGGGAAGACAGAGGCAGGGACUGGCAUGACGUAUUUAUAAACCAAGGAAUGUCUGAUAUUGCUGGCAACCAUAGAAGAAGCAAGGAAGAAUUUUUUCCAGAGACCUCAGUGGAACCAUGGCCCUGCCUACACCUUUUUUUCUGAUUUCUAGCCUCUAAAACUAUGAAAGAAUACGUUAAUGUUGUUUUAGCCACUCAGUUUCUUUUUUUUUUUUUUUUUUUUACCAUAGCCCUAGAAAUCUAAUAUACCUGUUAAGGUGGUGUAUGCCAAAUUUCUCUACUGUAAAGCUACUCCCUUAUUGAAAGAGCUACUGUAAAGCCAUUCCCUUAUUUUCAAACAAAUCACUACAUCCAGUCCACAUUCAAGGGGAAGGAAAUUAAACUUUAUCAUCUAGAGGAAGGAGUGUCAAAUAAUUUGUGGACACAUGGUAAAACCACCACAAUAACUAAUAAACGCUUUUGGGAAAUAUGUCAAGUCUUUGCAAAUAUUCUGCUUCUCUUAAAAGGUUUGCUCAGUAAUUUUAGUAUUCAUCAGUGGAUUUUGCC
rnacentral:lncRNA from 1 species